CAGGAGGUGUCUAGACGAUCACGAUGUCAAGGUCUACAAAUCCAACUGAUCAAUUUUUGUUUUAGAGCAAGUCCGUUAGGAAUUUCUUGUGUUUCAAGCUACCGACGAGACAUUUUCAUGGGUUGAGGCUAUUUCUUGUAAGGUUAUUGGUAUGUUUUGGAAGAGGAGUAAAGUAUCAAGGAGUUGGAACCCAGGAAGCACAGUAGAAGCACUAGAAUAGAAGGUUAUAGAAGGCUCAAGGAUGUCUGGUUGCCCUUUUCUGGGGCCCUCAGUGCUGGUGGUUACGCAUGGACGCUUGUGCGCCCUCUUUGGGGCGCUGAGGGCCAAGGAUCUCACAAGCACACCUGGGCGCCCCCUCCAGGGGCGAUGAGCGCUAGUCAGCUACACCGUAGGACGUUUGGUUGGCCUCAGCCAAGGCGCUGAGGGCCAGUCUCUUCGCAGUUGCGCCUGCUUGCCCCACUUAGGGCGCUGAGCACCAGCGACGUUGGCCCAUGAUCCAAUUUUGAUCUAUUUAAAGGCUUAUACACAUUAGGGUUGGUAUCUUUGGACGGCUGAAGCUCAGAAAGAGGAUUUUCAACCUUUUGAGGCAGAUUGGGAUGUAGGAGCUUUCCUUCUCACUUUCUAGGGUUUCCAUUCAUUCAUUCUUCCAUUAUACACCAAGGUUCUCCAUGACAAUGGAUAACUAAACUCAUUUGUUGUUGGGGAUGAUGU